GAUGAACGCUGGCGGCGUGCCUAAUACAUGCAAGUCGAGCGAACGGACGAGAAGCUUGCUUCUCUGAUGUUAGCGGCGGACGGGUGAGUAAUACGUGGAUAACCUACCUAUAAGACUGGGAUAACUUCGGGAAACCGGAGCUAAUACCGGAUAAUAUUUUGAACCGCAUGGUUCAAAAGUGAAAGACGGUCUUGCUGUCACUUAUAGAUGGAUCCGCGCUGCAUUAGCUAGUUGGUAAGGUAACGGCUUACCAAGGCAACGAUGCAUAGCCGACCUGAGAGGGUGAUCGGCCACACUGGAACUGAGACACGGUCCAGACUCCUACGGGAGGCAGCAGUAGGGAAUCUUCCGCAAUGGGCGAAAGCCUGACGGAGCAACGCCGCGUGAGUGAUGAAGGUCUUCGGAUCGUAAAACUCUGUUAGUAGGGAAGAACAUAUGUGUAAGUAACUGUGCACAUCUUGACGGUACCUAAUCAGAAAGCCACGGCUAACUACGUG
rnacentral:rRNA from 1 species